UACGAAGGGGGCUAGCGUUGCUCGGAAUUACUGGGCGUAAAGGGAGCGUAGGCGGACAGUUUAGUCAGAGGUGAAAGCCCAGGGCUCAACCCUGGAAUUGCCUUUGAUACUGAUUGUCUUGAGUAUGGGAGAGGUGAGUGGAACUCCGAGUGUAGAGGUGAAAUUCGUAGAUAUUCGGAAGAACACCAGUGGCGAAGGCGACUCACUGGCCCAUUACUGACGCUGAGGCUCGAAAGCGUGGGGAGCAAAAGGG
rnacentral:rRNA from 1 species